rnacentral:rRNA from 1 species
UACGUAGGGUGCGAGCGUUGUCCAGAAUUAUUGGGCGUAAAGAGCUUGUAGGUGGUUUGUCGCGUCUGCUGUGAAAAUCCGAGGCUCAACCUCGGACUGCAGUGGGUACGGGCAGACUAGAGUGUGGUAGGGGAGACUGGAAUUCCUGGUGUAGCGGUGGAAUGCGCAGAUAUCAGGAGGAACACCGAUGGCGAAGGCAGGUCUCUGGGCCAUUACUGACA